AAACAUUUGAUAAUGAGGCUAAAUAUACUCCCGCGUCGGAGGAGGCGUGGGCGUCCCCGCCCAGGCCCGGGAGACAGAGGCGCUGACCCCGGGACAGAGCCUGGCUUUGUGCGGGAGGCAGACGCGCCCCGCGCGCCGCCCCCGAAACAUUCGCACCCCAUGCUGAGGCGCGCGUCUGGGAGUCCGUGGGCGCCCCGAGGUGAGCCCGGGGCCCCUGGCGGAAGCAGCGGGGAGCUCCCGGCGGGUGCGGGGAGGUGCUGGUGGGAAGCAAGGUGCACCUGGCGGCCUGGGAUGUCCGGUCGCCCCCGGAGCCGGUGCAUCCGGCCUCUCCCGGCGCGCCCCGACGUGCCCGCGGGCUCAUAAUUACCGUGAGUCAGGUGCCCCAAAUAGGCCGAGCGAGGGGGGCCGUCGCGCAGCAGGGGCGGGUGGCCGGACGUCUGCCCGGGACUGGUUGCCUCCCGCCCCUCCCCAAGACCCUGGCACCCAGGGAGGGCGGGAAAGGCCUUGGCCAUUCCUCUGGGUAGGGGACUGGAGAGGGGAAGAAACUUUCGCCGAGUCCAGCGCUGCCCCCUCAUACCCAUCCCCACCCAGGCUGCGUGUCCGGGGCCCCUCCGGGGCUUGGCACCAGCAGGCACGCAGCGAUCGCCGUCGUUGUUAUUUAGUAGUAGUAGUAACGGCUGACAUUUACAGCGACGUCGAUGGCGCCAGGUGCCAAGCUCUUUCCUUGUAUAAUUUCAUGGACACUCACGCAUCAACUCUAAGCGAAGACUUGGAGCGGGGCUCAGCACCCCAGGGGUACCUCUGCAACCUCGAAAUGAAGUUGAAAAUAGCACAGGAGCCCACUAUCACUGUGUGAACAUUUUGUGAAUGAAGACAUGUAUGAAAGGAUGUUUGGAGGCUUCAAGAAACGAAAGCCGAGAGUCUAGCUAGACCAGAGCCAUCCAGCCCAGGAGCGAUGGCCACGUGUGGCCGCUGGACACGAGAGACGUGGCCAGUCCAAACUGUGCAGUGCGGGGCAGUGGAAGCCGUUGGAGGGCCUCAGGCAGGAACACAAGGUGUCGUGGCAGAAAGGAAGAAGGGGCCGGGCACGGUGGCCCACACCCGUCAUCCCAGCACUUUGGGAGGGAGGCCAAGGCAGGAGGAUCGCUUCAAUCCAGGAGUUCAAGAUCAGCCUGGGCAACACAGCAAGACCCCGUCUCUACUAAAACCCUAAAACUUAGCCAGGCUUGGUGGCAUGUGCCUAAGGUCCCAGGUCCUCGGGAGACUAAGGCAGGAGGAUUGCUUAAGCCCAAGAGUUUGAGGCUGCAGUGAACUAUUAUCACACCACUGCACUCAGCCUGGGUGACAGAGUGACUCUGUCUCAAAACUAAAUAAAUAAACAAUAAUUGUGUU
rnacentral:lncRNA from 1 species